UUGGUACAUACUACAUCUCUGUAAAUCCCAAACGCCAGUACAAACUCUGGAAUGGUCAUUUUUUUACUGAGUCUGGGAUCCCUGGCCUUGAGGACUACUGAUAGGUCCCAAUAAGCAUACGUCUUGUUCUCCACUAUAUCCUGGGCAGCAAUAAGGAGUGAUAUCACAUUCACGUCCCUACCCUCCAGGAUAUCUUUACAUAUCUGAAAAGGCACCAUGUGGGCAGGUGUG